GACGAACGCUGGCGGCGUGCUUAACACAUGCAAGUCGAACGGAAAGGCCCUGCUUCUGUGGGGUGCGCGAGUGGCGAACGGGUGAGUAACACGUGAGUAACCUUCCCUUGACUUUGGGAGAACUUCAGGAAACUGGGGCUAAUACCGGAUAGGAGCUCCUGCUGCAUGGAGGGGGGUGGAAAGUUUCGGCGGGUGGGGGUGGACGCGCGGGUUAUCAGCUCGUGGGUGGGGUAGUGGCUUACCAAGGCUUUGACGGGUAGCCGGCCUGGGAGGGUGACCGGGCACAUUGGGACUGCGAUACGGCCCAGACUCCUACGGUAGGCAGCGGUGGGAAAUAUUGCCCAAUGGGCGGGCGCCAGAUGCGACGACGCCGCGUGCGGAAUGACGGCCUGCGGGUUGUGAACCGCUUUCGCCUGUGACGAAGCGUGAGUGACGGUAAUGGGUAAAGAAGCACCGGCUAACUACGUG
rnacentral:rRNA from 1 species